ensembl:lncRNA
ACUGUCUCCUAACUACCAUAUUGGGACAGGCACCUGUCUCUGUAACAACUGUCUCCUAACUACCAUAUUGGGACAGGGCAUUCUCUGUAACAACUGUCUCCUAACUACCAUAUUGGGACAGGGCAAUUCUCUGUAACAACUGUCUCCUAACUACCAUAUUGGGACAGGGCAAUUCUCUGUAACAACUGUCUCCUAACUACCAUAUUGGGACAGGGCAAUUCUCUGUAACAACUGUCUCCUAAACACCAUAUUGGGACAGGGCAUUCUCUGUAACAACUGUCUCCUAACUACCAUAUUGGGACAGGCACCUGUCUCUGUAACAACUGUCUCCUAACUACCAUAUUGGGACAGGGCCAUUCUCUGUAACAACUGUCUCCUAACUACCAUAUUGGGACAGGCAUCUGUCUCUGUAACAACUGUCUCCUAACUACCAUAUUGGGACAGGCACCUGUCUCUGUAACAACUGUCUCCUAACUACCAUAUUGGGACAGGGCCGUUCUCUGUAACAACUGUCUCCUAACUACCAUAUUGGGACAGGGCCUUUCUCUGUAACAACUGUCUCCUAACUACCAUAUUGGGACAGGGCCAUUCUCUGUAACAACUGUCUCCUAAGUACCAUAUUGGGACAGGGAAAUUCUCUGUAGCAACUGUCUCCUAACUAGCAUGUUGGGACAGGCACCUGUCUCUGUAACAACUGUCUCCUAACUACCAUAUUGGGACAGGCAUCUGUCUCUGUAACAACUGUCUCCUAACUACCAUAUUGGGACAGGCACAUGUCUCUGUAACAACUGUCUCCUAACUACCAUAUUGGGACAGGGCCGUUCUCUGUAACAACUGUCUCCUAACUACCAUAUUGGGACAGGCGCCUGUCUCUGUAACAACUGUCUCCUAUGUACUAGGCUAGCAUAUUGCUCCACACAUACUGGUAUUUGUUCUGAAUGGACCCCUGUUCCCUAAAUAGUGCACUACUUUCGACCAGAACCCUAUGGGCUCUGGUCAAAAGUAGUGCACUCUAAAGGGAAUAGGGUGCCAUUUGGGACAAACGCACAACACUCUGCACUCACCUCCCCCACCCUCCCCCUCUCCUACCCCCCUUGGCGUGUGUCGUCAUCCCCCCGGUGGACCAAGCUUGAGGAAGCUACAGAAGGUCUUGAUGUUAUUGUUUCCAGUGUGGUGUGUUCUUCCUGUCCUUGUGUUAAUACAUACACUCAACUGUACACUUCUGUCUUGACACUAGUUCCAUUCAGAUGAAUAAUAAUAAUAAUAAUAAUAAGGCACAUAGCAGAUACUUCUUUCCAACGCGACGGUCAGGGGUUCUGUUGUCUGGGUGUGCCCAGCGGGAAUUGAACCUCUCGUGUCGUGAUGCUCUUAUCAACUGAGCGUCGUGGAACCAGUUCAUGUUCUGUCUUCUUAAUGACCUGCAUUCCUUCUGUCAAAUCCAGCCUCGUAGUUUACUCAUUCUCACGUUAAACACAUCACAACUCAUUCCUUCUGUCAAAUCCAGCCUCGUAGUUUACUCAUUCUCACGUUAAACACAUCACAACUCAUUCCUUCUGUCAAAUCCAGCCUCGUAGUUUACUCAUUCUCACGUUAAACACAUCACAACUCAUUCCUUCUGUCAAAUCCAGCCUCGUAGUUUACUCAUUCUCACGUUAAACACAUCACAACUCAUUUAACAUCUUCUAUUAGAAAGGUGUCAUUACAUGCUCUGACUCCGUUGUCCAGGUUUGAAAAUAACAUUAUAUUGUCAUUAUUACUAUUAUUAUUAUAAUUACAUUGUCUUAACACUCUUCUCCUUUGAAUACAAUUCCAUAUUCUCUUCUACUCUUUAAUGUCGUGUUCCGUCGCCUAAUAUCAUAGGGCAGGUCCCAAAUGGCACCAUAUUCCCUACUUAGUGCACUACUUUUGACCCAGGCCUAUAGAGCUCUCUGGCCAAGAGUAGUGCACAAAGUAGGGCACAGUGUUCCAUUUGGGACGCAACCCGUGGACCGCUGUUUAUCCCCUCAUUCACAGUCUCCUCAAUGUAUUUCUAGGCCAUCCUCCUCUCAGCCGUGGACAGGCACAAUGCUGGUGUAUAUAUAUGUACUAUAUACAUACUGUUGCACUUUCUAGGAAAAUACAUAAGGCCUGUAGUCUUUUUAAACCAUAUGACUGGGAUCACACAAUUCUUAAUUCCCUGGUUUUACACAAAUCCUGGCUGGAAGAUUCCUGGGAAUAUGAGGGGAAUAAGCAGGAACUCCGGGACUCCUUCCACCAGGAUUUCUGGGAAAAGUGAUAAUUUGGGGAAAGUUGGGGACUGCAGCAGCCCUAUAGGAUCCUCAGCACUCCAAAGGGAGGUGUUUAAAGACCCUGUCUAAUACCACCACAUGAAAAGAAAAACAAUAAAACACAAAGUGUCAUAUUUUGCAACUUGAGUAUCA